GAAUGUUGUGAAAGAUUGGCAUACUAUGGGAUCAACACCAAUCUAGUUAAUUAUCUCAAAUUUCAACUGAACCAGAGCAGUGUUGUGGCAAUCAAUAAUGUUACAAAUUGGUCAGGCACGUGCUAUGUCAUGCCAUUGCUUGGAGCUUUUCUAGCUGAUGCCUACUUGGGAAGAUAUUGGACAAUAGCUAGUUUCUCUAUCAUCUACGUCGUUGGCAUGACAUUGUUAAC
rnacentral:misc_RNA from 1 species